rnacentral:rRNA from 1 species
AACGAACGCUGGCGGCGCGCCUAAUACAUGCAAGUCGAGCGAGAAGGUGUAGCAAUACACUUGUAAAGCGGCGAACGGGUGAGGAAUGCAUGGGUAACCUACCCUCGAGUGGGGAAUAACUAGCCGAAAGGUUAGCUAAUACCGCAUACGUUUCCGGAACUUCGGUUUCGGAAAGAAAGCAAUACCGUGGGUAUUGCGCUCCUGGAUGGGCUCAUGUCCUAUCAGCUUGUUGGUGAGGUAACGGCUCACCAAGGCUUCGACGGGUAGCUGGUCUGAGAGGACGAUCAGCCACACUGGCACUGCGACACGGGCCAGACUCCUACGGGAGGCAGCAGUAAGGAAUAUUGCGCAAUGGACGAAAGUCUGACACAGCGACGCCGCGUGGGGGGAUGAAGGUCUUCGGAUUGUAAACCCCUUUCGGGAGGGAAGAUGGAGUGGGUAACCACUUGGACGGUACCUCCAGAAGCAGCCACGGCUAACUUCGUGCCAGCAGCCGCGGUAA